GGAUGCUCAUUUUAUUUGUGUGGAUGAACAUGUAGUUGGUGUUGCGGAUGGUGUAGGUGGUUGGGCAGAUGUUGGCAUUGAUGCUGGGAAGUUUGCUCGUGAACUUAUGUCAAACUCGAUAAAUGCCAUACAGGAACAGCCUGGGGACUCAGUUGACCCUGCCAAGGUGUUAGAGAAAGCUCACUCAGGCACUACAGCCAAGGGUUCUUCAACAGCUUGCAUCAUUUCUCUUUCUGAAAAGGGACUUCAUGCUAUUAAUCUGGGGGAUAGUGGAUUUAUAGUUAUAAGAGAUGGAAGCACUAUUUUCAGAUCUCCCGUUCAGCAACAUGGCUUCAAUUUUACUUAUCAGUUGGAGAGCGGCAAUGGUGGUGAUUUACCCAGCUCUGGAGAGGUUUUCAUGAUACCUGUCGCACCGGGGGAUGUCAUAGUUGCUGGAACGGAUGGCUUAUUCGACAAUCUAUACAGUAAUGAGAUUUCAGCUGUUGUAGUU
rnacentral:misc_RNA from 1 species